AGCGAACGCUGGCGGCAGGCCUAACACAUGCCAGUCGAACGAACCUUUCGGGGUUAGUGGCGGACGGGUGAGUAACACGUGGGAACGUGCCUUUAGGUUCGGAAUAACUCAGGGAAACUUGUGCUAAUACCGAAUGUGCCCUUCGGGGGAAAGAUUUAUCGCCUUUAGAGCGGCCCGCGUCUGAUUAGCUAGUUGGUUGAGGUAAUGGCUCACCAAGGCGACGAUCAGUAGCUGGUCUGAGAGGAUGAUCAGCCACAUUGGGACUGAGACACGGCCCAAACUCCUACGGGAGACAGCAGUGGGGAAUCUUGCGCAAUGGGCGAAAGCCUGACGCAGCCAUGCCGCGUGAAUGAUGAAGGUCUUAGGAUUGUAAAAUUCUUUCACCGGGGACGAUAAUGACGGUACCCGGAGAAGAAGCCCCGGCUAACUUCGUG
rnacentral:rRNA from 1 species